UGUCCCGGAGGCUCCCCCGCGUGUCCUGGAGGCUCCCCCCCCCGUGUCCCGGAGCCUCCCGCGUCCAGGCGCUGCGGGCCCUACCCUGGGGCGCCCCCGCCGAGCGCGGAGCCAAGCCCGGGCCGCCGUGGCCGCGCUACCUGCAGCCGCACUUUGGCGGUGUCGAGCGGGAAGGAGCUGCCGGCCUGGAAAGGAAUACUUAGAGCUGCUAUUCUGUAGAAAUUUACUAACUAUACAGUGUCCUAUUAACACGGCUUAUAAUGAAAAGAAAGAGAAAACCCUAGGCUCAGGAAGAAUUUAAGCUUGCCUUCUCUGGUGAAAACUCAUGAAAAAAAAAAUCAAGCGAUGCAUUUGCCACCUGAAGCAUCGUCACUGACCACGAGUAGAGUGGCUCAGAGGAGCUGAAAAUGUGUGGGAGAAGACACUUGGGAUAUUUACCUCUUCUGGGCCUGCAGAUACGCCUUACCUUUCACCUGGAAGGUGGAGGCGGGCAAGCGGCUGCUGGCGAAGACCCUCCUGUGCAACUACGCAGGGAAGGAAGGACAGUGAGGCUGCGUAGACAGCCAGGACCCUGCAGAAGGCUCCCCUCCAGGGCUGUGACCGCCUCUGGCCGCGGGGAGCCACCACUGGCCCGACCGAGAGCAGGAGGCCCCCGAGGACCCCGCGGCCCCCGCAGCUGUCCACCUGUUUCUGAAUAUCAUCGGGGAGGAUGGCGAGCGGGAGGCCGUGAUACCCAUGCUACCAAUGGUGCAGCAACAGGGUCGAGGUUUGAAGAUCCUUCUGGAGGGGCACCUGGCUGGCUCAGUUGGUUGGGUGUCCGAUUCUGGAUGUCAGCUCCGGAUGUGAUCUUGGUGUCCUGGAAUCAGGCCAGCAUCAGGGUGGGGUGGGGUGCAGGGUCUGCUUGGGGGUCUCUCCCCCUGCCCA